rnacentral:rRNA from 1 species
GAUGAACGCUAGCGGCAGGCUUAAUACAUGCAAGUCGAGGGACAGCACAGGUAGCAAUACUGGGUGGUAACCGGCAAACGGGUGCGGAACACGUACACAACCUUCCUUUAAGUGGGGGAUAGCCCAGAGAAAUUUGGAUUAAUACCCCGUAAUAUAGUUGAAUGGCAUCAUUUGAUUAUUAUAGCUACGGCGAUUAAUGAUGGGUGUGCGGCUGAUUAGAUAGUUGGCGGGGGAACGGCCCACCAAGUCUACGAUCAGUAGCUGAUGUGAGAGCAUGACCAGCCACACGGGCACUGAGACACGGGCCCGACUCCUACGGGAGGCAGCAGUAAGGAAUAUUGGUCAAUGGACGCAAGUCUGAACCAGCCAUGCCGCGUGAAGGAUUAAGGUCCUCUGGAUUGUAAACUUCUUUUAUUUGGGACGAAAAAGGGCCUUUCUAGGUCAACUGACGGUACCAGAUGAAUAAGCACCGGCUAACUCCGUGCCAGCCGCCGCAGUAACAC